UACGUAGGGUGCAAGCGUUGUCCCGGAAUUAUUGGGCGUAAAGAGCUUGUAGGCGGUUUGUCGCGUCUGCUGUGAAAUUUCGGGGCUCAACCCCGAACUUGCAGUGGGUACGGGCAGACUAGAGUGUGGUAGGGGAGACUGGAAUUCCUGGUGUAGCGGUGAAUGCGCAGAUAUCCAGGAGGAACACCGAUGGCGAAGGCAGGUCUCUGGGCCACUACUGACGCUGAGAAGCGAAAGCAUGGGGAGCGAACAGG
rnacentral:rRNA from 1 species